UACGGGAGGCAGCAGUGAGGAAUAUUGCACAAUGGGCGGAAGCCUAAUACAGCGACGUCGCGUGAGGGAUGGAGGCCUUCGGGUUGUGAACCUCUUUCGCCAGUGAGGAAGGGCCUUGCCUGUGUGGUGGGGUUGACGGUAGCUGGGUUAAUUGAAGCGCCGGCUAACUACGUGCCAGCAGCCGCGGUAAU
rnacentral:rRNA from 1 species